rnacentral:rRNA from 1 species
AUUGAACGCUGGCGGCAGGCCUAACACAUGCGAGUCGAGCGGAUGAAGGGAGCUUGCUCCUGGAUUCAGCGGCGGACGGGUGAGUAAUGCCUAGGAAUCUGCCUGGUAGUGGGGGAUAACGUCCGGAAACGGGCGCUAAUACCGCAUACGUCCUGAGGGAGAAAGUGGGGGAUCUUCGGACCUCACGCUAUCAGAUGAGCCUAGGUCGGAUUAGCUAGUUGGUGGGGUAAAGGCCUACCAAGGCGACGAUCCGUAACUGGUCUGAGAGGAUGAUCAGUCACACUGGAACUGAGACACGGUCCAGACUCCUACGGGAGGCAGCAGUGGGGAAUAUUGGACAAUGGGCGAAAGCCUGAUCCAGCCAUGCCGCGUGUGUGAAGAAGGUCUUCGGAUUGUAAAGCACUUUUAGUUGGGAGGAAGGGCAGUAAGUUAAUACCUUGCUGUUUUGACGUUACCAACAGAAUAAGCAACGGCUAACUUCGUG